CCAAAGGCUCUUUUAAGAGCCACCCACAUUUUCAAUGGAAGAGUUG
rfam:Alligator sinensis unplaced genomic scaffold scaffold647_2, whole genome shotgun sequence